rnacentral:rRNA from 1 species
GACGAACGCUGGCGGCGUGCUUAACACAUGCAAGUCGAACGGAAAGGCCCUGCUUUUGUUUGUUUCUCGUUUGCCGAACGGGUGAGUGACACGUGAGUAUCCUGCCCUUGACUUUCUGAUAACUUCAGGAAACUGGGGCUCAUACCCGAUAUGAUCUCCUGCUCCGUGUGGUUGGUUGGAAAGUUUCGGCGUUUGUGGCUGGUAUCGCUGCUUAUGCGCUUGUUGGUGGGGUAGUUGCUUACGACGGCUUUGACGGGUAGCCGGCCUGAGAGGGUGAACGGCGACAUUGGGACUGAGAGAGGGACCAGUAUGGUACGGGAGGCAGGAGUGGAGAACAUUGCGGAAUGGGCGGACGCGUGAUGCAGAGAAGCCGCGUGCGGGAUGCCGGCUUACGGGUUGUAAACCGAUUUCGAAUGUGACGAAGAGUGAGUGACGGUAAUGGGUCAAGAAGCAACGGCUAACUACGUG